rnacentral:rRNA from 1 species
GAAUUUUGGACAAUGGGCGAAAGCCUGAUCCAGCAAUGCCGCGUGCAGGAUGAAGGCCUUCGGGUUGUAAACUGCUUUUGUACGGAACGAAAAGCUUUGGGUUAAUACUCUGGAGUCAUGACGGCUCCGUAAGAAUAAGCAACGGCUAACUCCCUGCCCGAAGCCGAGGUAAGAGGUCGGGUGCAAGCGUGAAUCGGAAUUAAUGGGCGUAAGGCGUGCGCAGGCUGUUUUGUAAGACAGAGGUGAAAUCCCCGGGCUCAACCUGGGAACUGCCUUUGUGACUGCAAGGCUAGAGUACGGCAGAGGGGGGUGGAAUUCCGCGUGUAGCAGUGAAAUGCGUAGAUAUGCGGAGGAACACCGGUGGCGAAGGCAACCCCCUGGGCCUGUACUGACGCUCAUGCACGAAAGCGUGGGGAGCAAACA